rnacentral:rRNA from 1 species
GAUGAACGCUGGCGGCGUGCCUAAUACAUGCAAGUCGAGCGAACGGACGAGAAGCUUGCUUCUCUGAUGUUAGCGGCGGACGGGUGAGUAACACGUGGAUAACCUACCUAUAAGACUGGGAUAACUUCGGGAAACCGGAGCUAAUACCGGAUAAUAUUUUGAACCGCAUGGUUCAAUAGUGAAAGACGGUCUUGCUGUCACUUUUAGAUGGAUCCGCGCUGCAUUAGCUAGUUGGUAAGGUAACGGCUUACCAAGGCGACGAUGCGUAGCCGACGUGAGAGAGUGAUCGGCCACACUGGAGCUGGGACGCGGUCCAGAGUCCUACGAGAGGCAGCAGUAGGGAAUCGUCCGCAAUGGGCGGAAGCCUGACGGAGCAAGGCGGCGUGAGUGAUGACGGUGUUCGGAUCGUAAAACUCGGUUAUGAGGGAUGAACAGAUGUGGAAGGAACUGUGGAGAGCUUGACGGUACCGAAUCAGAAAGCCACGGCUAACUACGUG